GCUCUCUACUGGGCAUCUCUGGGAAGCACUAGUCUCAUCCUGCAAGUGUGGCUUUCUCAGGAAAUCAGUAAUGCACUCUUCAUGCUGCCUUAGCCAAGACUCAAAGUCAUCCUGAGCACCAGGUCCCGCAAAGUCUUGGAAAACCCACGAAUAAGCAAUGAAUGCUCUGGGUAACUUUGUUCAAAGACCAGCUGUGUCUUUUUUUUUUUUUUUCCAUGUUUUCAGCUUCUCUUCAGUGAAACUCAUUUUGCAAGGUGGGGGAAGGGAAGCUUGCCAUGAGCCUGAAAAGUGGGGAGCAAACGAGGCAGGCCCAGAUUGGUGAUGCCCCUAGCUCCCAGCAGAAGCAAAUCCUCUGUGGACAAAAGCCUCAGCAGACAGCUUUGGGAUUGCCUCAUAUUACAUGCAGAUUAACAGGAAUUCAAAAUUAAUUACAAAACAUGCAAAGAAGUAGGCUGCUAUGAGUGAGAGUCAGCAGCAAACAACAGAAUUCCCCAAGUUUCUUAAUGAUGGGAAUUAUACGUGGACUAAAAAAUCACCAUUUUUAUUUGGAGAAAUAAAAGCUAGAUUAAAAAUAACCAGAAAUAGAGGGUGGAGGAGACAGGACAGGAGGUGGAUUUUGGUACAAACUUUCAGUCAUAAGUUGAAUAGAUUCUGGACAUCUAAUGCACAACAUGAUAACUGUAGUUAAUAGCAAUGUAUUGUAUACUUGAGGUUUGCUGAGAGUAGAUCUGACACUGUUCUCACCACACACACACACACACACACACACACACAAAUACACACACACAAAGAUGAAGUAAUGGAUAUGUUCAUUGUGGUAAUCAUUUCACAAUGUAUAUGUAUACAAAAACAUCACAUUUU
rnacentral:lncRNA from 10 species